GCUGUUCCUAAGCUCACAAAAUCUGAUGGCUUUAUAAACAGGAGUUUGCCUGCACAAGCUCUUUUUUUCUUUCUGGCCGCUGUCCACGUAAGAUGUGACUUGCUCCUCUUUGCCUUCUGCCAUGAUUGUGAAGCUUCCUAAGCCACGUGGAACUUUCUGGAGGCUGGAAGUCCAAGAUCAAGGUGCUAUCAGGGUUGGUUUCGGCUGUGGCCUCUCUUCCUGGCUUGUAGACAGCUAUCUUCUCGCAGUGUCCUCACGUGGCCUCUUUGUGUGAAGGUUUUGGCAAACGUCUAAUGACACAGAGCCACCAUUGCCAAUUUCACCACUGUCUUUCACCAAGUUGAUUCAUUUUGAACUGGCUCCAGCAAUCUACUCAGAGUUGACCUCAGAGCAAAAAAUUGAACAACAGCUCCAUAUGUUGAUGUGAACUGUGACUCCAGGAGAACGGUGGAAAAGUGUCUUGAUCCAGGAAGGAAGGGGUAUAGAGAAAAUAUGAGUCUCACCACACUAGAAGCAACAUAUGCAAAAUCCAUCAAACACACCAUAAAAUCAAUGUGGGAGUAACAACACCUUGGCCUACUGCUCCCUGAAAAGUUUUUCUCUCGUCAAGUGAUGACAGGCGUACAUUUGUAAAUAAAUUACCAAGUUGCUUUUGAUUUGAUGGAGAAGGAAGAAAAGGAUUGUCUCCUGGAAGUAUUUUUAUUGUCUUAAUAGGUAGGAUAAUAUCUCUGUUCAGCAAACUGAGAUCUUUUGAGAAUCUUAACAAAUGUAUACCCCUCCCUCUCACCUUUUCCUCUCUGGUGUAUUUCAUAGGCAGCUUUGCUAACUGACUGCACUACUACAAAUAGAUUCUGUCACUUUAGAAAUAGGAUUUUUCCUUUUAUAGGCAGAUUGAUGGACUAAGUGUCAAGGUUUUAGAACAGUAGCAUGACUGGGGCAGACACUAUAAACCAUAAAUCCAGUAUUGACAAAUGUUCUAGCCAAUCCAGAUUUUCUAUUUGUUAAAUUGCCUUUAUGAAGUCAUACUUGUGCAGCACAGAAUAUGGAAAAUAAUUGACAAGUUCUGAGAAGCCAGUUACUGAGCUCAUAGUUUAAUAAAGAAAAUGUUAAUGAACACUUGAGUAUUAUAAAUUGUUAUAAGAAGAUUCUCUCUUCAUUGUUUGCCAAAGUAUGCUAAUAAUUCUUGACUGACUAAUAAGCAGAGGUCAUUCUAGAUCUACAGAUUUUGAAAGUUGGAACUUUUUAUUUGUACCUUUUGUUUCACUUGUCAAAGUGAGCUAGUAACAUAGAAUAAACUAUAAAAAAUAUGUAACAGAA
rnacentral:lncRNA from 1 species